UCUAUCUAGGAGGAGGAGGAGGAGAGCUGAAGGAGAGGAGGAGGAGAGGAGGAGGAGAGGAGGAGGAGGAGGAGGAGAGCUGAAGGAGCCGUUCUGUUUCUGUCCUGUUCUGGUCGACGUUCGUUGAAGAUGAACUUCCUCUCAGACGUCUUCGUCCUCCAUCACGUCUCCGUCCUCGCCGUCUUUUCUCUCUCUCGUCGACCACAUGACCUCAGAGAAGAAGUCUGACCCCGGUAGAUGAACUUUCCGUUGGCGGCGGACUCCAAAGUCUGCAGGUGUGACGCACCUUUAAUCCCAUUUCCUGAUGAUGAAACUCGCCGCCUGAAACUCCCGUUUGUCACAUAAGUCAACAAGGCCGCCGCCGCCGCCGCCACUACAGGCUGUUUACAAAGCCAAGCCUCUUUCCCUCGCCGUCACAUCGCGCUUACCCCCCUCCGGUCGUAGCGUUGAAUCAAAGCUUGCCGCACACACGUCACCCUUUGAAAUCUGGCGCUCAGGAGCGCGUUCGACAGUUAGCAGGAUAAAUAUUUGAGGGCCGGCGAUAUCAGACGAGGACGCCGCAGAACACCUCCGAGCACGCAGCUGUUAACCCCACCCCCCCUCCUCGCCGGUUUGUGCGUUUUGAAGAUAAAGUAGCAAAACUACUCGAGGCGUUGGUGUUGUGAACGUUGGUUGCUACGGCAACACUGGUGGGAGGGAGACCCGGUUCUCCAUUACUACUUCAUUUAGGCGCUCUAAUUGCAUUCUGCACAAUCCGCCGCCGCCGCCACCGCGUUCUGCAGGG